CAGACGCAUGUAUUGAGGAACUCUUCAUUUGAUACUUAGACAAGGCAAAAACUCAGAUAAUUAACUGCAGUAAACUCAUUUAUACGCCCUAGAGAGCGUUAUUUACUGCUAAUAAAUGGAAAAAAGUAUGUUUCAUGUUCCCGGUCCUUCCGGACAAAGAAGGCCGCCAUGUAGACAGAGGAUAGGGCCUUCUCCUGGUUCUGUGGAAGUAAAAUAUAACCUGAAAGAAAAUAUUGGAGCUGGCUGCUACGGCAAUGUCUAUCGUGGUAUCAGAAUAGUGGACGGCAAACAGUUUAUCAUCAAGUCGACUUUUUCAGAAGUUGACAGCAAUGUGCCUGGAUAUCCGUUACCCAUACCAAUCGAAGUGGCCAUGAUGACAAUUGCGAGAGAUCCCCCAAGCCCGCUGCUCAUCAAGCUCCAGGAAUGGUUUUUAGUUAAAGUGGAGAAAUUGCCAAGAGGAAAAGUGUGUAAGACAAUAAUGUUGGUGAUGGAGUAUCUCGGCCCGUGCAGAACACUGGAGGAUUUCCUGC
ensembl:processed_transcript